UUUUUACUUUUUGCCAUCACUGGAUUCGUCACGGGCACAGAGAAGGGGUGAACAUAGUACUUCUCUCCACAGCCAACUCAUAGGCCAGGAAACAUUGCCUACAGUGUAUAUUGUAUCGGAUAGUCAGAUUUAAAAAUAACGUUUUGCCAUGGUCGUACAAUCAGGUACAUGGAGUACAUUAGUUGCUUAGGUUUCGUAAUACACGGUUCCCAUGAUGUAUGCCAACAGAGCUCCCGAUUGACUGACGAUGUUCAAAUAUAUGAGUACUCUCAUAUGAUGGUUACCUGCAACUCUAACUAUGAAAACUAGAAGUGAGUUGUUUCCAUCGUUUUCCUAUAAAAUUAUUAAUGUGAUUGCUUUCCUCUCUAUUUUUUUGUGGAAGACAUAUAGGGUUGUGCCAUAAUUAUAUUAUAGGCAUGAACAAAAUAAGUGUUUCUCGAAGACAUGAACAAAAUAAGUUAUAUUUGCUCCAAACUUGCAAAUUUGUUAUUGGAGUUUUAUAUUUGUUCCAGUUGACACUAAAACAUACUUGCAUUAGUUAUGCCAUUUUUAUGAGGUUGUAUGCAGCAAACAACAUGUUGCAGUCAUUUUUCUAUAUCCAGUCUGCAUAGAAACACACGAUAUGCACUCUCUUUACAAGCGGGCAAUGCAGGAUCUCACUGUUAGUAUAAGAAGCCGAUUCACUAUUCUAACUUUGUUUUUUUACUGCAGUUACAUACUUUGUUCAUAAGAUUGCUGUUAUAUUCUGAGCACAAUCUUUGAUGUUUUUUGUUUCCCUUGUGCUUAGGCUCACAAUCUGGGCACACAUAUUUUCAUCUAGUAUAUUUUUUCAUUGUUAACUAUUGCAUGUGAUUUUUCGUAGGGCUAAGGUGACAAAAAAUUCUUUGGUGGAAGCUGGAAUAUUCUCUUGAGUCGUGUAAGUUCAGUAGGUAUCUUUCCAACUCACUGACUAAAUAAAAUGAUGUCCACAAGUUGUUUUUCUAUUUCUUGGAGUUGCUUCCCUUGAUUUGAGAAAUAGUUAUCUGUCCGCUUGGGAUCGGGAAGGGAUAGUGUGUCGAUGGCUUAGCUCCCUUUCUCUAUAGUCCUUGGAGCCCAGAUAUGGAGGAGUUUAGAGGAUAUGUAAUCAAGCCUUGCUGCCCCUUUGCCUUUUGUUUUGUUUGAUUUGAGAAUAGAAUCAUCGGUGAUAUGUAUUUUAGAUUUAGCCCAUUGCAAAGAGUAUGGGAUGCGUGAGGCAUGAAGUUUCAAAGCUUUUUAGGGCUAUCCUCUUCUCCUAUUGUAAAUUAUCUGACUUUCUUGUCCUAUCUUAACUUUAUUUGAAUUAUACUUUGUAAGAAAUUAUAUGAAAUGUGAAACUUAUUUGGUGUGUUCAUGAUUCCUGUUAUGAAUAUUUAUUUUUCAAAAAUUCUCCACUUUUAUAUGCCGGCAGAUAAUCUAUUCUGCAUGCCCAUUUCAAUCUCUGUUUUAACUACUCUUAUGUACACAUAUAAAUUGUGAAAAACUGGGAGAAGUUUGAUUAUUCUAGGUUGAGUACAUGGUCUAAUCAUAUGCACAGGCUUGACUUUCUGUCAUGAAUCUGAGAGGGUACUGAUGGUGUGCACCGGAGGCAACUAAAGACAAUGAUGCAGAACUGAACACUACAAGUAUUGGGCCACUCUCACUGCCUAUGAUAAAUUGAUUAAUUCCACAACGCUGGUGGAGGCCUCCUCGAGCUUUGUAAUAAACUCUAUGCCAUCUGUGUUACCAUCAAGAGAAGGUAUAUGCUCGAAGAAGCUAUCAAACUGAUCGACGGUACAAUUCAUGCAUUCGAACUUGCUGGUGCUGAUGAUGCCAUAGUAAUGGCAUCAGUGAAAAUCGAUCUCUGCCCCCACAACAAAAGCAUAUUACCGACUCAACAUGAAUAUUAUGGAGAAUCAACUCAGCUUGCCAGCGAUGCUAUUGAGUCAACAUGUUCUGCUGCUUUAGCCUAUCUACUGACCAUGGGCAUAAUUACAAGAGAUGAUCCCAACUUGGUGGAGCUCAAGAAAUGACAAAGACAACUCAAAGCUAAGUAGGUCAUCAGUGUUAUAUGGUCGUGCGCAAUCCUUUCAGAAUCAGCUCGCCUCUUUGACCAUGAGAACACUCCAGCAACUAAAAGUGUCAACAAAUUAGAGGUAAUCACAGUAUUGGUCAGCUUUUCACUUGCAUUACUUGCAUACAAAUGAACAUUAACCUCUAGGAUGGCCUUACUGAAACUGCGGGCUCACAGCCACCAAACGAGUAACAUACCCUCCCUCCCACUCUUCAGACUUUUACAACUAUAUACAUUACUCAUGUUUGUUGCUUUCCCAGUGAAACAGACCACAGGUCCAAAACAAAGUCCCAGCCUACUACCCGCAGGACUUUAGUCUUUAAAGACUAAAUGCACGGAUCGCAUCUAUCGACUAUCACUGUGAAUCUCAAAAGACACGCUUCAUUCUUAUGCCUCUUAUAAGCCCGUUGCCAUAUGCACACGCUUCAUUCUUAUGCCUCUUAUAAGCCCGUUGCCAUAUGCACUUCGCCUUUAUUUGGACUAGACGCGGUAUGUAAUGACGAAUCACGUCGACCUCCGUCUAAAUGCAUGGAACUUGGCACUGAAUUAUCUGAACUGCUGCCCAGGAUUCAAUUCAUACUUUAUUUACCUAUAAUAUGGUAUGUAAUGACAAGGAAGUCGAGGACCUUUUGUAGUUGCGUGAACCAACUGCUACGUACUAAAUAUGUAUAUAGCUUACUUUUGGAUUGAAACCUUUUGUUUUUUGCUGGACCAAUUGCUAUGUAUUGAAUGUGUAUGUAUCGAUGCAAUGUUUCUGAUCUAAACUUGAUAUAUUAGAUUGAUAAACACAACUACAUUAUCCUA